AUACGUAGGCGACAAGCGUUAUCCGGAUUUACUGGGCGUAAAGGGCGUGUAGGCGGUCUUACAAGUCAGAUGUGAAAUUCCCGGGCUCAACUUGGGCGCUGCAUCUGAAACUGCAAGACUUGAGUGCUGGAGGGGAUAGCGGAAUUCCUAUUGGCGCGGUAAAAGGCGCAGAGAUUAGGAAGAACACCGGUGGCGAAGGCGGCUAUCUGGACAGUAACUGACGCUGAGGCGCGAAAGCGUGGGGAGAAAACAGGAUUAGAUCCCCGGGUAGUCCACGCCGUAAACGAUGAAUACUAGGUGUAGGGGGUAUCGACUCCCUCUGUGCCGCAGUUAACACAAUAAGUAUUCCGCCUGGGGAGUACGGCCGCAAGGUUGAAACUCAAAGGAAUUGACGGGG
rnacentral:rRNA from 1 species